rnacentral:rRNA from 1 species
UACGGAGGGGGCAAGCGUUAUUCGGAAUUACUGGGCGUAAAGGGCGCGUAGGCGGCCUGGUCAGUGGGAAGUGAAAGCCCUCGGCUCAACCGAGGAAUAGCUUCCCAUACUGCCAAGCUAGAGUAUGGGAGAGGGAAGUGGAAUAUCCGGUGUAGCGGUGAAAUGCGUAGAGAUCGGAUGGAACACCAGUGGCGAAGGCGACUUCCUGGACCAUUACUGACGCUGAUGCGCGAAAGCGUGGGGAGCAAACAGG